rnacentral:rRNA from 1 species
GACAGAGGAUGCAAGCGUUUAUCCGGAAUGAUUGGGCGUAAAGCGUCUGUAGGUGGCUUUUUAAGUCCGCCGUCAAAUCCCAGGGCUCAACCCUGGACAGGCGGUGGAAACUACCAAGCUGGAGUACGGUAGGGGCAGAGGGAAUUUCCGGUGGAGCGGUGAAAUGCGUAGAGAUCGGAAAGAACACCGGUGGCGAAGGCGGCGACCUGGUUCAUUACUGACGCUGAGGCGCGAAAGCGUGGGGAGCAAACAGG